GUCUACGGCCAUGCCACCCUGAAGAAGCCCGAUGUCUGAUCUCGGAAGCUAAGCAGGGUUGCGCCUGGUUAGUACUUGCAUGGGAGACCACCUAGGAACACUCCCGACCUUUCUCU
rnacentral:rRNA from 1 species